rnacentral:rRNA from 1 species
AUACGUAGGGGACGAGCGUUGUCCGGAAUUACUGGGCGUAAAGGGCGCGCAGGCGGAUAUUUAAGUCAGCUGUAAAAGGCAUGAGCUCAACUCAUGUAUGCGGUUGAAACUGGGUAUCUAGAGUGCUGGAGAGGUAGGCGGGAUUCCCGGUGUAGCGGGUGAAUGCGUAGAUAUCGGGAAGAACACCAGUGGCGAAGGCGGCUUACUGGCCAGCAACUGACGCUGAGGCGCGAAAGCCAGGGGAGCGAACGGGAUUAGAUACCCCGGUAGUCCUGGCCGUAAACGAUGAAUGCUAGGUGUGGGUGUCGAGAGGCAUCCGUGCCGGAGUUAACGCGAUAAGCAUUCCGCCUGGGGAGUACGAUCGCAAGAUUGAAACUCAAAUGAAUUGGCGGGG